CUCGUAGGCGGUUUGUCGCGUCGUCUGUGAAAUUCUGCAGCUUAACUGCAGGCGUGCAGGCGAUACGGGCAGACUUGAGUACUACAGGGGAGACUGGAAUUCCUGGUGUAGCGGUGAAAUGCGCAGAUAUCAGGAGGAACACCGGUGGCGAAGGCGGGUCUCUGGGUAGUAACUGACGCUGAGGAGCGAAAGCGUGGGUAGCGAACA
rnacentral:rRNA from 1 species